rnacentral:rRNA from 1 species
AAUGAACGCUGGCGGCAGGCCUAACACAUGCAAGUCGAACGGAUCCUUCGGGAUUAGUGGCGGACGGGUGAGUAACGCGUGGGAACAUACCCAAAGGUACGGAAUAGCCUCGGGAAACUGGGAGUAAUACCGUAUGUGCUCGAAAGAGGAAAGAUUUAUCGCCUUUGGAUUGGCCCGCGUAGGAUGAGGUAGUUGGUGGGGUAAAGGCCUACCAAGCCGACGAUCCUUAGCUGGUCUGAGAGGAUGAUCAGCCACACUGGGACUGAGACACGGCCCAGACUCCUACGGGAGGCAGCAGUGGGGAAUAUUGGACAAUGGGCGCAAGCCUGAUCCAGCAAUGCCGCGUGAGUGAUGAAGGCCCUCGGGUCGUAAAGCUCUUUUACCAGGGAUGAUAAUGACAGUACCUGGAGAAUAAGCUCCGGCUAACUCCGUGCCAGCCGCCGCGGUAA